UCGGUACCAAAUCGAGGCAAACUCUGAAUACUAAGUGAACAGUUAACCAGUAAGACUGUGGGGGAUAAGCUUCAUAGUCAAGAGGGAAACAGCCCAGAUCACCAGUUAAGGCCCCUAAAUAAUUAUUAAGUGGUAAAGGAGGUGGGAAGACUCAGACAGCCAGGAGGUUUGCUUAGAAGCAGCAAUCCUUUAAAGAGUGCGUAAUAGCUCACUG
rnacentral:rRNA from 1 species